rnacentral:rRNA from 1 species
GGGAAACUGGUGAUAAUACCGAAUAGACCAUUUAUGCUGGAAUGCUUUUUGGUUCAAAGGCUUCGGCUGCNUAAGGAUGGAUCUGCGGCCUAUCAGGUAGUAGUGGGUGUAAUGUACCUACUAGCNUACGACGGGUACGGGUUGUGAGAGCAAGAGCCCGGAGAUGGAUUCUGAGACAUGAAUCCAGGCCCUACGGGGCGCAGCAGGNGNGAAAACUUUACAAUGCGGGAAACCGCGAUAAGGGGACACUGAGUGCCAGCAUAUUAUGUUGGCUGUCCACAUGUAUAAAAACCAUGUGUUAGCAAGGGCCGGGCAAGACCGGUGCCAGCCGCCGCGGUAACACCGGCGGCCCGAGUGGUGAUCACUUUUAUUGGGUCUAAAGGGUCCGUAGCCGGUUUGAUCAGUCUUCUGGGAAAUCUGACAGCUCAACUGUUAGGCUUUCAGGGGAUACUGUUAGACUUGGGACCGGGAGAGGUAAGAGGUACUACAGGGGUAGGAGUGAAAUCUUGUAAUCCCUGUGGGACCACCAGUGGCGAAGGCGUCUUACCAGAACGGGUCCGACGGUGAGGGACGAAAGCUGGGGGCACGAACCGGAUUAGAUACCCGGGUAGUCCCAGCCGUAAACGAUGCUCGCUAGGUGUCAGGGACGGUGCGACCGUUUCUGGUGCCGCAGGGAAGCCGUGAAGCGAGCCACCUGGGAAGUACGGCCGCAAGGCUGAAACUUAA